GACGAACCGUGCGAACGUUGUUCGGAUUCACUGGGCUUAAAGGGCGCGUAGGCGGCUUGCCAAGUCAGGGGUGAAAUCGUUCGGCUCAACCGGACAAGUGCUUCUGAUACUGGCGGGCUGGAGGGAGGUAGGGCAGACGGAACUUCCGGUGGAGCGGUGAAAUUCGUAGAUAUCGGGAGGAACACCGGUGGCGAAGGCGGCGACCUGGGCCGAUACUGACGCUGAGGAGCGAAAGCGUGGGAGCAAACAGG
rnacentral:rRNA from 1 species